rnacentral:rRNA from 1 species
CACGUAGGCACCAAGCGUUGUCCGGAUUUAUUGGGCGUAAAGAGCUCGUAGGCGGUUCGGUAAGUCGGGGUGAAAACUCUGGGCUCAACCCAGAGCCGCCACCCGAUACUGCUGUGACUCGAGUGCGGUAGGGGAGCGGGGAAUUCCUGGUGUAGCGGUGAAAUGCGUAGAUAUCGAGAGGAACACCUGCGGCGAAGGCGGGUUGCUGGGCCGACACUGACGCUGAGGCGCGAAAGCCAGGGGAGCGAACGGG